UCAAGCGUUAAAGGGCGUAUGGCGGAUGCCUAGGCACUGAAAGGCGAUGAAGGACGUGGUAUACUGCGAUAAGUUACGGGGAGCUGUAUGCAAGUUUUGAUCCGUAAAUUUCCGAAUGGGGAAACCCGGCUCUUUAUGAGUCACUUUAUACUGAAUACAUAGGUGUAAAGAGGUAACCUGGAGAACUGAAACAUCUAAGUAACCAGAGGAAAAGAAAUCAAUUGAGAAUCCGUAAGUAGUGGCGAGCGAAAGCGGACUAGGCCAGUAAUUUUGUUAAUAUAAUUUGAAUAGUUUGGAAAAACUAACCAUAGAAGGUGACAGUCCUGUAAUAGUAAUGAUUAACAAGAUUCUUGAGUAAAGCGGGACACGAGAAAUCUUGCUUGAAUGUAGGGGGACCACCCUCUAAGCCUAAUUACUCUUCAGUGACCGAUAGUGAACUAGUACCGUGAGGGAAAGGUGAAAAGAACCCCUAUUAGGGGAGUGAAAUAGAACCUGAAACCGCAUGCCUACAAUCAGUCGAAGCUCUUUUUAGAGUGACGGCGUACCUUUUGUAUAAUGGGUCAGUGACUUAAUUUGUAUAGCAAGCUUAAGCCGAUUAGGUGGAGGCGCAGCGAAAGCGAGUCUUUAUAGGGCGUUUAGUUUUAUGAAUUAGACCCGAAAACGAAUGAGCUUACCAUGAGCAGGUUGAAAGUAGGGUAACACCUACCGGAGGACCGAACCAGUUGACGUUGAAAAGUCUUUGGAUGACUUGUGGUAAGGGGUGAAAGGCCAACCAAAUUCGUAGAUAGCUGGUUUUCCGCGAAAACUAUUUAGGUAGUGCGUUGAAUAAACAUACUUUUGGAGGUAGAGCACUAAACGGGCUAGGGGGGAGAAAUCCCUACCAAACCUGAUAAAACUCCGAAUGCCAAACGUAAUUCCUCAACAGACAGACUGUGGGCGCUAAGGUCCGUCGGCCAAAAGGGAAACAGCCCAGACCCACAUCUAAGGUCCCUAAAUUUACACUAAGUGCGCUUAAGGAGGUAAGGUUUCAUGGACAGUGAGGAGGUUGGCUUAGAAGCAGCCAUCCUUUAAAGAUAGCGUAACAGCUCACUCAUUAAGAGAUCUUGCGCCGCAGAUAAUCGGGGCUAAGUGUAGUACCGAGGAUUGGGAUUUGUACAAACUCCGGUUUGUGCAAGUGGUAGGAGAGCAUCCUUAUCGGCGUUGAAGCCGCAACGCGAGUUGUAGUGGAGCGAUAAGGAGAGAGAAUGUUGGCACAAGUAACCGCAACACGGGUGAGAUCCCCGUGCGCCGAAAAACCAAGGUUUCCUUGGCGAUGUUGAUCAGCCAAGGGUUAGUCGGGCCUAAGGGGAUGACGAAAGUCGGACCCGAUGGACAUACGGUUAAUAUUCCGUAACCUUUCAUGUAUUUCUUAGGAGGGACGGAGCUUAGUAUGCAAAGCGUAUUAUUGGAUUUACGUUCGUUGCGUAAGGGUGGUGUUUAGGUAAAUCCAGACAUCUGAUUUUAAUUUCAAACUCAAGCGUCGCGAAAAUCUUCUGUUUCGGCAGGGGAAAUUUUGCAAAGCAGGCUUCCGAGAAAAUCUUCGAAGAGCAGGUGCAUGAAAGUCCGUACCUCAAACCAACACAGGUGGUUAGGUCGAGAAGACCAAGGCGAACGAGUCAAAGCUCCUCAAGGAACUCGGCAAAAAAGCGGCCGUAAGUUAGCGAUAAGGCCUGCCCCUAUAGCAAUAUAGGGGCCGCAGCGAAAGUAUCCCUGGCGACUGUUUAUCAAAAACACAGCUCCCUGCGAACUAGUAAUAGGAUGUAUAGGGGGUGACGCCUGACCAAUGCCAGAAGGUUAAAUACGGGGGGUCUAUAUAAGUUUACUUGUAUAGGCUGGCUUGUAUAAGCCCUGGUGAAUGUCGGCGAUAACUAUAAUUGUCCUAAGGUAGCGCAAUUCCUUGUCUGGUAAGUUCAGACGUGCACGAAUGGCGUAACGACUGGGGAACUGUCUCGAGGAGUCGCUCGGUGAAAUUGAAGUG
rnacentral:rRNA from 1 species